CCAACGUGGAUACUCCCGGGAGGUCACUCUCCCCGGGCUCUGUCCAGGUGGCAUAUGGGAGCUCAGGGCUCUGCCCCGUGACGUACAGUCCCUUUCCACAACGUUGGAGAUGAAGCCGGGCCUGUCUGCGCCUNCAUAUUCCUACAGCUUCUCAGAGUCCUGUGGACCAUGACUGAGGAGACAAACCAUGCAGGAAACAUCU
rnacentral:snoRNA from 1 species